rnacentral:rRNA from 1 species
AGUGAGGAAUCUUGCGCAAUGGGGGCAACCCUGACGCAGCAACGCCGCGUGAGUGAUGAAGGCCUUCGGGUCGUAAAGCUCUGUCAAGUGGGAAGAAACUCCCCAUGGUAAAUAAUCAUGGGGAUUGACGGUACCGCCAGAGGAAGCACCGGCUAACUCCGUGCCAGCAGCCGCGGUAAUACGGAGGGUGCAAGCGUUGUUCGGAAUUAUUGGGCGUAAAGAGCGUGUAGGCGGUUAGGUAAGUCAGAUGUGAAAGCCCUUGGCUUAACCAAGGAAGUGCAUUUGAAACUACUUAGCUUGAGUACGGGAGGGGGAAGCGGAAUUCCCGGUGUAGAGGUGAAAUUCGUAGAUAUCGGGAGGAACACCGGUGGCGAAGGCGGCUUCCUGGACCGAUACUGACGCUGAGACGCGAAAGCGUGGGGAGCAAACAGGAUUAGAUACCCUGGUAGUCCACGCCGUAAACUUUGGGCACUAGGUGUUGC